rnacentral:lncRNA from 1 species
AGAAGAAUGAGUGUCGUAGAAGCCAAUAACAUUUCUGGGCCUGUGAGUGAAUUUAUCCUCCUGGGCUUCCCCUGCCUGCUGCAGGGAGACCAAGAUCCUCCUCUUUGUGGUCUUCUCCCUCAUCUACCUUCUGACCCUCAUGGGUAACACAUCCAUCAUCUGCGCUGUGUGGUCAAGCCAGAAACUCCACACACCUAUGUACAUCCUCUUGGCUAAUUUCUCUUUCCUGGAGAUCUGCUGCAUUAGUUCUGAUGUCCCAAAAUGUUGGCCAAUCUCAUCUCCCAUAUCAAGAGCAUCUCCUAUGCUGGCUGCCUGCUCCAGUUCUUCUACUUCUCCAUGUGUGCUGCAGAAGGCUACUUUCUGUCUGUGAUGUCCUUUGAUCGGUUCCUUACCAUCUGUCGACCUUUGCAUUAUCCCACAGUCAUGACUCACCACCUGUGUGUCUGAUUAGUGGCCUUCUGCAGGGCAGGUGGUUUUCUAUCCAUACUGAUGCCUGCAGUGCUUAUGUCCCGAGUGCCUUUCUGUGGCCCUAACAUCACUGACCAUUUUUUCUGUAACCUGGGACCAUUGCUGGCACUGUCCUGUGCCCCAGUUCCCAAAACUACUCUGACUUGUGCUACAGUAAGCUCUCUCAUCAUCUUCAUCACCUUCCUCUACAUUCUUGGGUCCCAUAUCUUAGUUUUGCGAGCUGUUCUGUGGGUCCCAGCUGGCUCAGGCAGGAACAAAGCUUUCUCUACAUGUGCUUCCCAUUUCUUGGUUGUUUCUUUCUUCUAUGGCUCAGUCAUGGUGAUGUAUGUGAGUCCAGGCUCCAGGAGCCGCCCUGGGACACAGAAAUUUGUGACAUUGUUUUACUGCACAGCAACCCCAUUCUUUAAUCCCCUGACCUACAGUCUCUGGAACAAAGAUAUGACAGAUGCCCUUAAAAAAGUGCUGG